rnacentral:rRNA from 1 species
AUUGAACGCUGGCGGCAUGCCUUACACAUGCAAGUCGAACGGCAGCACGGGUGCUUGCACCUGGUGGCGAGUGGCGAACGGGUGAGUAAUAUAUCGGAACGUACCUUAUCGUGGGGGAUAACGCAGCGAAAGCUGCGCUAAUACCGCAUACGCCCUGAGGGGGAAAGCGGGGGAUCGCAAGACCUCGCGCGAUUGGAGCGGCCGAUGUCAGAUUAGGUAGUUGGUGGGGUAAAGGCUCACCAAGCCGACGAUCUGUAGCUGGUCUGAGAGGACGACCAGCCACACUGGAACUGAGACACGGUCCAGACUCCUACGGGAGGCAGCAGUGGGGAAUUUUGGGACAAUGGGCGCAAGCCUGAUCCAGCAAUGCCGCGUGCAGGAAGAAGGCC